ensembl:lncRNA
CAGGGCUGUUAUAGGGGUCAAUCCAGGCCUGGUUUACUGGACAGUACAUUACUAAGGACUGAGUGGAAGGGCAAGAGGAAAAAGUACUAGUAGUGGGAGUGUAAAGACAACGGAGGAGACUGUAAUAACAGAAGGGUAGAGGUUGUAAUAGAAGACAACAGAGGAGAGGAAGAGGUAAUGUGGAGAGGUAAUGCGGAGAGGGAGAGGUAAUACGGAGAGGUAAUGCAAAGCGGGAGAGGUGAGAGGGAGAGGUAAUGCGGAGAGGUAAUACGGAGAGGGACAGGUAAUACGGAGAGGUGAGAGGUAAUAUGGAGAGGGAGAGGUAAUACGGAGAGGUAAUACGGAGAGGUGAGAGGUAAUACGGAGAGGGAGAGGUAAUACGGAGAGGUAAUACGGAGAGGGAGAGGUAAUACGGAGAGGGAGAGGUAAUACGGAGAGGGAGAGGUAAUACGGAGAGGUGAGAGGUAAUACGGAGAGGGAGAGGUAAUACGGAGAGGUAAUACGGAGAGGUAAGAGGUAAUACGGAGAGGUGAGAGGUAAUACGGAGAGGGAGAGGUAAUACGGAGAGGUAAUACGGAGAGGGAGAGGUAAUACGGAGAGGGACAGGUAAUACGGAGAGGUAAGAGGUAAUAUGGAGAGGGAGAGGUAAUACGGAGAGGUAAUACGGAGAGGUAAGAGGUAAUAUGGAGAGGGAGAGGUAAUACGGAGAGGUAAUACGGAGAGGUAAUACGGAGAGGUAAGAGGUAAUAUGGAGAGGGAGAGGUAAUACGGAG